GACAAGAUGGCCGAGUGGUUAAGGCGUACCGUUCAAGUAUCACGUGAACACUUGGUCCCUUUCAAGGGUCCAGAUCCGGUAUGGGGAAACCCGCGUGAGUUCGAGUCUCGCUCUUGUCA